CACUGCUCAGGACCACACCUGGAGAGUUUCCAGUACUCUACCAGCCUCGACUAUGUGAGGGAGAGUCAAGCAGAGGCCUACCCAUUCCUUUCCCAGCUUGAGCAGUGGCUAGCGAGUGGAAGACAAUCUGCUACAAGU